UGCAGUCGAGGGGCAGCAUGGUCUUAGCUUGCUAAGGCCGAUGGCGACCGGCGCACGGGUGAGUAACACGUAUCCAACCUGCCGUCUACUCUUGGACAGCCUUCUGAAAGGAAGAUUAAUACAAGAUGGCAUCAUGAGUCCGCAUGUUCACAUGAUUAAAGGUAUUCCGGUAGACGAUGGGGAUGCGUUCCAUUAGAUAGUAGGCGGGGUAACGGCCCACCUAGUCUUCGAUGGAUAGGGGUUCUGAGAGGAAGGUCCCCCACAUUGGAACUGAGACACGGUCCAAACUCCUACGGGAGGCAGCAGUGAGGAAUAUUGGUCAAUGGGCGAGAGCCUGAACCAGCCAAGUAGCGUGAAGGAUGACUGCCCUAUGGGUUGUAAACUUCUUUUAUAAAGGAAUAAAGUCGGGUAUGCAUACCCGUUUGCAUGUACUUUAUGAAUAAGGAUCGGCUAACUCCGUGCCAGCAGCCGCGGUAAUACGGAGGAUCCGAGCGUUAUCCGGAUUUAUUGGGUUUAAAGGGAGCGUAGAUGGAUGUUUAAGUCAGUUGUGAAAGUUUGCGGCUCA
rnacentral:rRNA from 1 species